UACGGGGGGAGCAAGCGUUGUUCGGAUUUACUGGGCGUAAAGGGCGCGUAGGCGGCACCGCAAGUCGGCUGUGAAAUCUCCGGGCUUAACCCGGAAAGGUCAGCCGAUACUGCGGGGCUAGAGUGCAGAAGGGGCAACUGGAAUUCUCGGUGUAGCGGUGAAAUGCGUAGAUAUCGAGAGGAACACCUGCGGCGAAGGCGGGUUGCUGGGCUGACACUGACGCUGAUGCGCGAAAGCUAGGGGAGCGAACAGG
rnacentral:rRNA from 1 species